rnacentral:rRNA from 1 species
CCCUUUGAUGUUCUGGGCCGCACGCGCGCUACACUGUUCGACGCAGCGAGUCUUAACCUUGACCGAAAGGUUUGGGUAAUCUUCAGCAAAGUCGAACGUGAUGGGGAUCGAUCAUUGCAAUUAUUGAUCGUGAACGAGGAAUUCCUAGUAAGUGCAAGUCAUCAGCUUGCGCUGAUUACGUCCCUGCCCUUUGUACACACCGCCCGUCGCUACUACCGAUUGAAUGGUUUAGUGAGAUCUCUGGAUUGACGCUGGCUAGGGGGCGACCCUUGGCCAGACUGUUGAGAAACUGCUCAAACUUGAUCAUUUAGAGGAAGUAAAAGUCGUAACA